CUGGGCGGGAAGGGGGUUACCUGGCGCACGUGGAUAUUUAGGUUGUUUCCAUAUGUUGGAUAUUGCGAAUAAUGCUUCAGCGGACAUGGCAAUACAGUCUCACUCUGUCACUGGCUA